rnacentral:rRNA from 3 species
UUGACCUCAGAUCAGGCAAGGCUACCCGCUGAAUUUAA